AUGGUUCUGGUUUAAGUCAUGACAAGUUUUUCUUGCAGUAGAGAUAAUCUGGAAAAAAUGGUCAUGACUGAUACCAAGAUCAU
rnacentral:pre_miRNA from 1 species